rfam:Bacillus selenitireducens MLS10, complete genome.
CCUCCCUUUAAAUCAGUUCCGAGAAGCUGAAAAGGGGUAUAUUCCUCCACUUUUCUGCCUUUGGGCAGAUUUGGACGAAGUACCUCUUUGGCACAUGCAAAGAGGUUUUUUGUUU